rnacentral:rRNA from 1 species
UACGAAGGGGGCGAGCGUUGUUCGGAUUUACUGGGCGUAAAGGGCGCGCAGGCGGCUCAUUUUGUCAGGCGUGAAAGCCCCGGGCUUAACCUGGGAACUGCGCUUGAGACGGGUGGGCUAGAGAUCGGGAGAGGAGAGUGGAAUUCCCAGUGUAGAGGUGAAAUUCGUAGAUAUCGGUAGGAACACCAGUGGCGAAGGCGGUCUCCUGGGGCAUUCUUGACGCUGAGGCGCGAAAGCUGGGGGAGCAAACGGG